AGCAAUGGUGCUAUCUGUGUGCAGCCUGUGACCCUGUGCUGCCCUGAGAAUGAAAUCCAGGCUCCGCUCUGCUUCACAUUCAAAACAACAGCCGCAAAUAGCCUCCACUUUCUUCAUUUCUUUGGACUCCGGCUCAUGGACAAUGAUAACAAGAAACUUCUACGGCUGAGUGUGUGCAUCAUGAUGCCAGCUGAUGAAGCACAUAUAUUUUGCUACCAAAUGAAGCCCUUGCCACUCCACCUCAAAAAUGCCUUUAUGUGGCCAGUGCCCGGUUCCCAAGUCCUUCCCACAGAAGACCUCAAACCGAUGUGUUUGCAAAUUGAUUGA
rnacentral:lncRNA from 1 species